rnacentral:rRNA from 1 species
UACGAAGGGGUCUAGCGUUGCUCGGAAUCACUGGGCGUAAAGCGCACGUAGGCGGGUUGCUAAGUCAGGGGUGAAAUCCUGGAGCUCAACUCCAGAACUGCCUUUGAUACUGGCGGCCUUGAGUCCGGGAGAGGUGAGUGGAACUGCGAGUGUAGAGGUGAAAUUCGUAGAUAUUCGCAAGAACACCAGUGGCGAAGGCGGCUCACUGGGACGGUACUGACGCUGAGACGCGAAAGCGUGGGGAGCGAACAGG